GGAAAAGCCUCUAAGCUUCAGAUUGUAAGGAAUCGUACCCCAAACCGACACAGGUGGUCGGGUAGAGAAUACCAAGGCGCUUGAGAGAACUCGGGUGAAGGAACUAGGCAAAAUGGUACCGUAACUUCGGGAGAAGGUACGCUCUUGAUGGUGAAGUCCCUUGCGGAUGGAGCUGACGAGAGUCGCAGAUACCAGGUGGCUGCAACUGUUUAUUAAAAACACAGCACUGUGCAAAAUCGUAAGAUGACGUAUACGGUGUGACGCCUGCCCGGUGCCGGAAGGUUAAUUGAUGGGGUUAGCGUAAGCGAAGCUCUUGAUCGAAGCCCCGGUAAACGGCGGCCGUAACUAUAACGGUCCUAAGGUAGCGAAAUUCCUUGUCGGGUAAGUUCCGACCUGCACGAAUGGCGUAAUGAUGGCCACGCUGUCUCCACCCGAGACUCAGUGAAAUUGAAAUCGCUGUGAAGAUGCAGUGUACCCGCGGCUAGACGGAAAGACCCCGUGAACCUUUACUACAGCUUGGCACUGAACAUUGAACCUACAUGUGUAGGAUAGGUGGGAGGCUUUGAAGACGUGACGCCAGUUGCGUUGGAGCCGUCCUUGAAAUACCACCCUUGUAUGUUUGAUGUUCUAACGUUGGCCCCUAAUCGGGGUUGCGGACAGUGCCUGGUGGGUAGUUUGACUGGGGCGGUCUCCUCCCAAAGAGUAACGGAGGAGCACGAAGGUGGGCUAAUCACGGUUGGACAUCGUGAGGUUAGUGCAAUGGCAUAAGCCCGCUUAACUGCGAGAAUGACGGUUCGAGCAGGUGCGAAAGCAGGUCAUAGUGAUCCGGUGGUUCUGAAUGGAAGGGCCAUCGCUCAACGGAUAAAAGGUACUCCGGGGAUAACAGGCUGAUACCGCCCAAGAGUUCAUAUCGACGGCGGUGUUUGGCACCUCGAUGUCGGCUCAUCACAUCCUGGGGCUGAAGUCGGUCCCAAGGGUAUGGCUGUUCGCCAUUUAAAGUGGUACGCGAGCUGGGUUUAGAACGUCGUGAGACAGUUCGGUCCCUAUCUGCCGUGGGCGUUGGAAGAUUGAAGGGGGCUGCUCCUAGUACGAGAGGACCGGAGUGGACGAACCUCUGGUGUUCGGGUUGUGUCGCCAGACGCAUUGCCCGGUAGCUAAGUUCGGAAUCGAUAACCGCUGAAAGCAUCUAAGCGGGAAGCGAGCCCUGAGAUGAGUCUUCCCUGAUACUUUAAGUAUCCUGAAGGGUUGUUCGAGACUAGAACGUUGAUAGGCAGGGUGUGUAAGCGCUGUGAGGCGUUGAGCUAACCUGUACUAAUUGCCCGUGAGGCUUAACCAUACAACACCCAAAGGGUUUUG
rnacentral:rRNA from 1 species